rnacentral:rRNA from 1 species
CCAGACUCCUACGGGAGGCAGCAGUGAGGAAUAUUGGUCAAUGGUCGGGAGACUGAACCAGCCAAGCCGCGUGAGGGAUGAAGGUACAGAGUAUCGUAAACCUCUUUUGUCAGGGAACAAAGGCGGGGACGCGUCCCCGGAUGAGUGUACCUGAAGAAAAAGCAUCGGCUAACUCCGUGCCAGCAGCCGCGGUAAUACGGAGGAUGCGAGCGUUAUCCGGAUUUAUUGGGUUUAAAGGGUGCGCAGGCGGUCUGUUAAGUCAGCGGUCAAAUGUCGGGGCUCAACCCCGGCCUGCCGUUGAAACUGGCGGCCUCGAGUGGGCGAGAAGUAUGCGGAAUGCGCGGUGUAGCGGUGAAAUGCAUAGAUAUCGCGCAGAACUCCGAUUGCGAAGGCAGCAUGCCGGCUCCACACUGACGCUGAGGCACGAAAGCGUGGGUAUCGAACAGGAUUAGAUACCCCCGUA